UGAGCACGUACAUAUGCACACACAUGAAGUCACACAUAGACAUACAGACGUGCAUGGAUUGUGAACAUACAUAUACACAUGUGUGCAUGUAUGUGAACAAAUGCACCUGUGCAUGUAUGCAGGUACACAUGCAUGCAUACACAAACAUGCACAUAUACACACAUACACCUACAUACAUGUGAACUCAAACAUGCACAGACAGACACCCCUGGUGCUUCCUGGGAUCGCCUCCCAGUAAGCUACAAACACUUAGGCCCUUGUCUCAUGCUUUCUGGGAGAGCCCCAGCCAGUGCCAGGGAAGCCUGUGCCCCCCCCGGCCCCGUGGGUCACCUGCUCACUCUGACCCACCGACGCAGCUGGGGGAAGAAACCUGCUCACUGGCCAGUCCAGGUCGUUGGCCCUACAGAGCGAGGGGUGGAGCCAGCACCUCUCGGGCCAGAUGCAGCCUGCGGGGUGGGAGGUUCCUGGAGGAAGACGCAGGGCCCUGUUACCAAAGGAAGGGUCCAAGGAUGCCAGGAGGCAAAACAAGAGACAUCCAAGUAAAGGCUGGGUGUGCAGGGAGACCCCGAUCGGCCCACUCCUGCAUGUUCCACAGAUACGGCAUCUCAGGGACGCCAGCGCCCUGGGACCCGCAUCGUCCUGGCUUUGAGGGUUCUGUGGUUCCAUGUGUGAAAAAAAUGAGCACCAAUGAGCAGGAUGCGCUCCUCUCUAAUCUGCCUGAUGCUUGAUCCCGCAGCCAGCUCUGGCUGGUUUCCUACCACCUGUCCCCGGGGCCAGCGCACCCAUGUCCAGUGACGCAGUGGCACGCUCCCCCAAAACGUGCAGGCACUUUGAAUAUGCGUAAUUCAAAAUGCACAUGUUCACAGAAACAGGAGUGGCACGGCAGGGGUGGCGUGGCCCUCCACCGAGCAGAGGAAGCCUGAGAAGGGCCCAGUGCCUCCACCACCAGCUGAACGUGAAGGCAGGGAAGCGCCGGGGGCUCAGACCUGAAGUGCGCAGCCAUGCUGCCUCGGCAUCACACUGAAACCAGCCCUGGAGCAGGCGACGGCCCCCGCGGCACUGCCGAGACCGGGAGGUUGCAGCAAGACACUGACCAAACAUCUUCAGGAAACAAGCGAGUGAGCAGCUCCGCGGAACGUGAGGCAGCAGGAGACUCACGGGGGUCUUUGCGUCCCCACCCCUCCGCGGACCCUGGAUCUCCAGGGACCCAGCCCCUCCAGCAGCAAGGCCUUCUCCUGCAGCCACUCCCAUGUGCUUGGGACAGCCCUACUGAGGAGAGAGGCCAUUUUUCUUAUUGUCUCCUGUCUCUGAAGAGAAGGAGGAAGUAAAAGCUGAAAAAUAACAGGAAUGAAGUCAGUGGCAAGAUCAGCCGGUGCCACUGAUGACCAGAGGCCUGAGGUUAAAAGAUUAUCCCCCCACUCUAACCACAUGUGCUCUCAACCUACCGCGACCCUUUCACGUGGAACCCCUUAGAUUUGUAAGCCCUUAAAAAGGGCCAGGGAAUCUGUCUUCGGAGAGCUCAGUUCUUGAGACACGGGUCUGCCGAUGCUCCCGGCCGAAUAAAGCCAAAUCCUUCCUUAACCCGGUGUCUGAGGGGUUUUGUCCGCGGCUCGCCCUGCUACACCGCAACCAUCCCCAUACCCCCAAAUCUAGAGAAGAGGAAAACCUCUGCCUGCCCCACUCGAUCCUCUUCCCCGCAAGCACCUCGCUUGGCCAGCAAGGUGUGAAGGAGAAGUCUCCGUAAGAGGCAAAGGCAGAAAUAAAACAAUUCACGAAUUCAUUUCCUGAAUAGAAACAGAUUUGGUGCUUUUAAAAGCUGGUCUUCUUCUUGUCGUUUACAUUUUUAUGAAAUUAACCUGUGUCCCUAAGUUUUAGAAGUGAGACCACAGUGAACAAGCAGCUGUGGCCACCCUCCCCUGGCCCCCCUGGCCUUUCACCUGUGUCUCCGGGCAUUUGUCUACUCGGCCGCCCUCCCCGGGCCCCCUCCUGGCCUUUCACCUGUGUCUCCGGGCAUUUGUCUACAUGGCCGCCCUCCCCGGGGCCCCUCCUGGGCUUUCACCUGCGUCUCCGGGCAUUUGUCUACGCAGCCGCCCUCCCCGGGGCCCCUCCUGGGCUUUCACCUGCGUCUCUGGGCGUU
rnacentral:lncRNA from 1 species